rnacentral:lncRNA from 1 species
AUGGAAGGAGAGGGCAGGUCCAGGACCAGUGUGGGUGGAGGGCAGGGUGGCAGCACUACAGCCGUGACAGCCUUCCGAGAGCUCCCAAGUCCACUGAGAGGAGGACACCAGGGGUACCAGGAGUCCCAACACAAGGCAGUUAGUGCUGUGAAAAGGAGGCGAAAGAGCCAUGGAAGAGUGCCUGCCACAGGUGGCUACAGUGUCCCCACACAGAGGCAUUUGAGUGCAGCACCCCAUGUACACUUCCCUAUUUCAGUAAUUCCCUUUUUAUUGAUUUGUACAGAAUUGUGACAGUAAAGAUAGGUAGGUUUAAACAUUUUCUAUUUAUAAAUUUUUAAAUUUUUAUUCAAAGGGCAGAGAGAGGGAGAGAGAUCUUCCAUUUAUUUGUUCACUCUUCAAAUGCCUGUGACAGCCAGGGCUGGGCCAGGAGCCAGGUGAUUCAAUCUGAGUCUCCUAUGUGGGUGUCAGGGACCCACAAACUUGAACCAUCACUGCUGCCUCCCAGGUGUGCAUUAGCAGAAUGCUGGAAUCGGAAGUGGAACUAGGACUUGAAUCCAGGCCUGAUGAUAUGGGUGCAGGCCUCAUAAACAGCAUCUUAACUGCUGCAACAGUGCCUGCCCCCAGAUAGGUAAACUUAAGAUUUGUUCCUUCAUCCUUUUAUUCAACUAUAAUAUGUAUGAUGGGGGAGGAAUCUUGAAAAAGUUCACAGUGAAUGUAUAGUAUGAAAAAACUAUGGCUUUCAAAACUUUUGUAUCAAAAUAGACUUACCUUGUAAAUCCAUUUCCCGUGUACUUUUUGAAGCCCUCUCGUAGAGUGUGUUUGAAUUUUCAACCACAAAUUCACAUGCGCAAAAGGGAGUCCAUGAUAUUAUUGAAUUAGUGGUUCUUAGUCUUUGGUACACAGUUUAGUUAGUUGUGUGUGGGAGUUGUUUUUUUUUUUUUUUUUUUAAUACUAGGGAUGGGGUCACGUCCUUUUUUUUUUUUUAAGAUUGAUUUCUUUAUUUGAAAGAGUUACAGAACUAGAGGGAGAGACUGGGAGAAGAGAUCUUCCAUCUGCUGGUUCACUCCCCAGAUGGCCAAAUCAGCCAGGGUAGGACUGGCCAAAGCCAAGAGGCAGGUCUCCCACGUGAGUGUAGGAGUCCAAGCCCUCAGGCCAUCUGCUGCUGCUUUUCCCAGACCAUUAGCAGGGAGCUAGGUUGGAAGUGGAGCAGCCAGGACA